GGAAGUGAAUCUUCACAGGGAAGGAAGCAACAAAACUCUGCCUUUGGCUUUUGCUGGCUGAGCAGGGAAAGGCCUAUAGACACAGGGCAUUGGGCAGGAGCUAGAACAGCCCUCCCUAGAGCACUACAUAAAGCAGCCAAUAUUUUGCAAAGCAUAGGGAAGAGUGAAAGUCAUCCGGGGCAUUUGCAGACACAGCACUAAGAACUUGGUGACAACAGCCCUGAAGCAAAACAGCAGCAUGUACUGGGCAGGGCUUGGGAGAUAAGACAGGACAUCUGAAGCUAAACAUGGGGGAAGGGAAGGAGGAAGAAAAUGUUAAAAGAUCGUUUUUUAAGGGUUGUAAAAUAGCUCAAAGACGAUGAAAGGCAAUAACCUGGAAAAGUGUACCGGACAAAAAACCCAGAUCCCCUCUGAAAGCUACAAUCAAAGUGUCAUCCACAAAAUCUUAUCUCAAGCCUUGACUAGAGAAGGACCCACUUCCAAGACCACAGAGUUGAAUGAAUUCAGUCCUUGCAGCCCGUUGAACUGAGGGCCUCCCCAACAUGCUCACCUGCUUCAUCAAAGCCUGCGAGAGAGAGAGUCCACUAGCAAGAGGACAUUGCAGUCUUAUCUAAUGCAAUCACUGAAGUGACAUCCUGUCACCUUGGUCACCUUUUCUAUUCUAUUCAUUAUAAAUGAGUCCCAAGUCCUGCCACACUCAAGUGGAGGGGAUUACACAGGGCUGGAGUACCAGCGGUGGGGAUAAUUUGGGGUCAUCUUAGAGUUCUUCCAUCACACGGGAAUUCUCAGCUCACCAAAUCUGGGAUUCCGCAUCUGGCCAUUCCUUAAGCUGAAGGCCUGGCAUAUUUUUGAGUGUCCAUUUGGAUCAGCUAAUAAACCCAGGGUUUGUCUACUGGCUGGAGGAGUAAGAACUAUAAGGCUAAUUGAAAUGAAUCUACUUAAAAUAGUGACCUGAUUUUUCUAAUAAUUACUGGAAGGUAAGGGUUGAUUGAGACUUUAAAAUAAAACCAAAAAUUAUUCUAAAUUUUUCAUAUUUUAUAUAAGAAAGUUUUGAUUUUUACUGCAACCAUUUUCUAACUCUUAAAAUAAAGAAAGGAUAAUUCAAGUGUUGAUAUUUUCCCAACAUAAAUAUACAGGAACAUAAUGUAGCUUACUUGUAUUUUAUCUUUGAUUUACACAAGAGAAUUUUUAUACAAAUAUUCCAGGCUCAUUAGUUUUCCCAAAGGCUUCUCAUAAUCCUUUGAUAUUUAAAUCAUUCCCUCUUUCAAGUCAUUUUUUAUCUGCCUUGUCGAUACUCUUUUUGUUAAUUUGCCCAACUCAUCUGGAUCUUCCUUUGUCACUGGCUCUGUAAAUUUGAGUAUUUCUCCAAUAAUGCUCCUGUCAACUUUAUGAAACCCUUUGUCUUUUGCAAGAUUUAAAAAUUCCCUUUAUAAUAAGCAUUCUACAGUAAGUGAAGACUCACUAGCAAAUAUAUGAGUGAUGGAUCAAGAGAGACAAAGUGUUAAAAAUUGACAGAUGCAACUUUUAAAAAUGAAAUUCUUGGUUACCAUCUAACAAAGUAAGUACAGGACCUGUAUGCUGAAAACUACAAAACACUAAUGAAGGAAUCAAAGAAAGUGUAAAUAAAUGGAGAGAUAUACCAUGUUCAUGAAUUGGAAGUCUCAGAAUUAUUAAAAUGUAAAUUCUAUCCAAAUUGAUCUAUAGAUUCAACCCAAUCACAAUCAAAAUCCUAACUGGCUGUAUAAAUUGACAAGCUGAUUCCAACAUUCACAUAAAAAUCCAAAGAAUGUAGAAGAGCCAAACAGCUUUGAGAAAAGGAGAAAAAAGUUAAAGGAUUCACAUUAUCUGAUUCCAAGGCUUCUUAUAAAGCUACAGUCAUUGAGUCAGUAUGGUACUGGCAAAAGGAGAGACACAUUCUAUGUAUCUAUCUGUCUAUAUAUCUAUGUGAAAUAUAAUAAAGAGUUCAGAAAUAGAUCCACAAAUAAGAUCAAUUGAAUUUUGGCAAAGAUGAAAAAAUAAUUCAAUGGAGAAAGGACAGAAUUUUCAAUAAAUGAUGCUGAAACAAUUAGACAUCCAUAUGCAGGAAAAAAAUGUUUGACCUAUAUGUUCAUUUUAUACAAAAAAUUAAUUCAAAAAGAAUCAUAGACCUAAAUGUAAAACAUAAAAACUUUUAAACUUUUAAAAUAAAAUAUAGGUAAAAUCUUCGUGACCUACAAUUAGGCAGAGUUCUUGGAGAUGACAUCAAGAAUUUAAUUCAUA
rnacentral:lncRNA from 1 species